rnacentral:rRNA from 1 species
UACGGAGGGGGCUAGCGUUGUUCGGAAUUACUGGGCGUAAAGCGCACGUAGGCGGCUUUGUAAGUUAGAGGUGAAAGCCCGGGGCUCAACUCCGGAAUUGCCUUUAAGACUGCAUCGCUAGAAUUGUGGAGAGGUAAGUGGAAUUCCGAGUGUAGAGGUGAAAUUCGUAGAUAUUGGGAAGAACACCGGUGGCGAAGGCGGCGACCUGGGUAGAUACUGACGCUGAGGCGCGAAAGCGUGGGGAGCAAACAGG